UCUGAAGACGGUUGCACAGAACCUCUCCAUUAUCAACAUCUGCCAUUAGACAGUUGCCAUGAAGUCAGUAGCUCAGAGAGAUGAAAGACCCUUGAGCUUUGAGCAAAUACUGUAGAUAGACUACACUUCAAACCAGUUACAGUGUGAGGGCUUCCUGUGUGUUCCUUUUGGAGGUUUGUGCAGUGAAGUUAUGUUCCACCCUCAGUUCGUUCUGAACGACCGUUAUCGACUCACCAGAUCUGCAAUGUUUCUCACUGAGUUUCUGCCCGGGUGUCAUCGAGUUGGUUGCCUUUUUCAGUUUCUCAUCCCUCCCUUGGUCUCCGGGCCCUGCAUCCUAUGCCAAAGACACUGGAAAAUAGCUUCCCGGAACAGAUUCCAUGUCAACUUCCUGGCGACUCCUGGCCGGGACUCUGGGCAUCCUGGCCCUGGCCCUCUUAGCGUCUGUGCUAGCACUGGGGAUCCUCAUAACGAACUACUCUUCUGGCCAAGGACCCGAGAGCCCUUUUUCAGUUCCCAACACCACAACUCAAAAAGGCUGCUACUCUGGCUCUUGCCCAGAGAACUGGAUCUGGAACAGAGGGAACUGUUAUUACCUUUCUAGAGAAGUCAAGACUUGGCCAGGGAGUCAAAAUGCUUGUCAAAGUAUGAAUUCCAGUCUCCUGAAGAUAGAAGACAGGGAGGAGUUGCAAGGAAGGCUGGCUUUGCCGGCAAUAAUUGUGAGGCACUGAAGAUAUUGCCCUAAAAACAUGGAGCAUGAUGAGAACCGAAGACUACUCACAUCGAUGAUCAGAUUUGGCUAUCCUUCUUCCUUCUGCUCCUACUAAUUGAUUUUCUGAAACUUUUGAAGACUUAUUACUGGAUUGGACUGUCUCGGACUGGCUCUGAUGGACCCUGGCUAUGGGAGGACGGAGCUGGUCUUUCCCAUGACCUGUCUGUGCAAGACAUUUUCUCUAAUGGAUGGUGUGCGAAUUAUUAUGCACAGCGAAAUGAAUUUUCAUCAGAAGAUUGUCUCUGGUCAUUUUCUUAUAUUUGUGAGCUAAGAGCUAUAUAGACUUAAAAAUGCUUACCUUGAAAUAAUGUUAUGAAACAAUCACAUUUCAGGACAUCCUUUAAGGUUUCAAAGCCUGCCUUUUUCUUGAAGUGUAUAUUUUAGAGAGUAACGUGCAGGUCAGUGGACUAUUACUGUACAGAGAUGGGAGAAAGAGAAGUUAUUCCCAUGGAGGAAUGACUGAGAGGACCUGCCAAAUUACCCACUGCUGGAGUUAUUCUCCAGCUAACGAGAGCUUCCUCUGAAAUGCUGUCCCUUGCAAAUUUAUUCAUGAAGAAUGUAUGUAAAAUAUUAUUACCUUGAUAUCGUAAUAAACAGGAAAGUGGACACACUU